rnacentral:rRNA from 1 species
CCUACGGGGAGCUGCAGUGGGGAAUAUUGGACAAUGGGCGAAAGCCUGAUCCAGCCAUGCCGCGUGUGUGAAGAAGGCCUUCGGGUUGUAAAGCACUUUCAGUGGGGAAGAAAGCCUUGGGGCUAAUACCCUCGAGGAAGGACAUCACCCACAGAAGAAGCACCGGCUAACUCCGUGCCAGCAGCCGCGGUAAUACGGAGGGUGCGAGCGUUAAUCGGAAUUACUGGGCGUAAAGCGCGCGUAGGCGGUCUGAUAAGCCGGUUGUGAAAGCCCCGGGCUCAACCUGGGAACGGCAUCCGGAACUGUCAGGCUAGAGUGCAGGAGAGGAAGGUAGAAUUCCCGGUGUAGCGGUGAAAUGCGUAGAGAUCGGGAGGAAUACCAGUGGCGAAGGCGGCCUUCUGGACUGACACUGACGCUGAGGUGCGAAAGCGUGGGUAGCAAACAGGAUUAGAUACCCUAGUAGCC